CCUACGGGUGGCAGCAGUGAGGAAUAUUGGUCAAUGGGCGCGAGCCUGAACCAGCCAAGUCGCGUGAGGGAAGACGGCCCUAUGGGUUGUAAACCUCUUUUGUCGGGGAGCAAAAGACGCCACGCGUGGCGUUUCGAGAGUACCCGAAGAAAAAGCAUCGGCUAACUCCGUGCCAGCAGCCGCGGUAAUACGGAGGAUGCGAGCGUUAUCCGGAUUUAUUGGGUUUAAAGGGUGCGCAGGCGGAAGAUCAAGUCAGCGGUAAAAUUGCGAGGCUCAACCUCGUCGAGCCGUUGAAACUGGUUGUCUUGAGUGGGCGAGAAGGAUGCGGAAUGCGUGGUGUAGCGGUGAAAUGCAUAGAUAUCACGCAGAACUCCGAUUGCGAAGGCAGCAUACCGGCGCUCAACUGACGCUGAAGCACGAAGGUGUGGGUAUCGAACAGGAUUAGAUACCCGGGUAGUC
rnacentral:rRNA from 1 species